rnacentral:rRNA from 1 species
CUACGGGCCGCAGCAGUGGGGAAUAUUGCGCAAUGGGCGAAAGCCUGACGCAGCCACGCCGCGUGUGUGAUGAAGGCCUUCGGGUCGUAAAGAACUGUCGGGAGGGAAGAAGUUCUGACGGUACCUCCCAAGAAAGCACCGGCCAACUCCGUGCCAGCAGCCGCGGUAAUACGGAGGGUGCAAGCGUUGCUCGGAAUUACUGGGCGUAAAGCGUACGCAGGCGGAUCGUUAAGUCGGAUGUGAAAUCCCGGGGCUCAACCCCGGAAUUGCAUUCGAUACUGGCGGUCUUGAAUACGGGAGAGGGAAGCGGAAUUCCUGGUGUAGAGGUGAAAUGCGUAGAUAUCAGGAGGAACAUCAGUGGCGAAAGCGGCUUCCUGGUCCGAUAUUGACGCUCAUGUACGAAAGCGUGGGGAGCAAACAGGAUUAGAUACCCUUGUAGUC